rnacentral:rRNA from 1 species
UUUUAUUUGAGAGUUUGAUCCUGGCUCAGGAUGAACGCUGGCGGCGUGCCUAACACAUGCAAGUUGAGCGAUUUACUUCGGUAAAGAGCGGCGGACGGGUGAGUAACGCGUGGGUAACCUACCCUGUACACACGGAUAACAUACCGAAAGGUAUGCUAAUACGGGAUAAUAUAUUUGAGAGGCAUCUCUUGAAUAUCAAAGGUGAGCCAGUACAGGAUGGACCCGCGUCUGAUUAGCUAGUUGGUAAGGUAACGGCUUACCAAGGCGACGAUCAGUAGCCGACCUGAGAGGGUGAUCGGCCACAUUGGAACUGAGACACGGUCCAAACUCCUACGGGAGGCAGCAGUGGGGAAUAUUGCACAAUGGGCGAAAGCCUGAUGCA